CCUACGGGAGGCAGCAGUGGGGAAUAUUGGGCAAUGGAGGAAACUCUGACCCAGCAACGCCGCGUGAAUGAUGAAGGUCUUCGGAUUGUAAAGUUCUUUUCUAAGGGAAGAAGAAAGUGACGGUACCUUAGGAAUAAGCCUCGGCUAACUACGUGCCAGCAGCCGCGGUAAUACGUAGGAGGCGAGCGUUAUCCGGAAUGACUGGGCGUAAAGGGUGCGUAGGUGGUUUGACAAGUUAGUAGCGUAAUUCCGGGGCUCAACUUCGGAACUACUACUAAAACUGUUGGGCUUGAGUGCAGGAGAGGUGAAUGGAAGUCCUAGUGUAGCGGUGGAAUGCGUAGAUAUUAGGAGGAACACCAGCGGCGAAAGCGAUUCACUGGACUGUAACUGACACUGAGGCACGAAAGCGUGGGGAGCAAACAGGAUUAGAUACCCGUGUAGUC
rnacentral:rRNA from 1 species